rnacentral:rRNA from 1 species
GAUGAACGCUGGCGGCGUGCCUAAUACAUGCAAGUCGAGCGAACGGACGAGAAGCUUGCUUCUCUGAUGUUAGCGGCGGACGGGUGAGUAACACGUGGAUAACCUACCUAUAAGACUGGGAUAACUUCGGGAAACCGUAGCUAAUACCGGAUAAUAUUUUGAACCGCAUGGUUCAAAAGUGAAAGACGGUCUUGCUGUCACUUAUAGAUGGAUCCGCGCUGCAUUAGCUAGUUGGUAAGGUAACGGCUUACCAAGGCAACGAUGCAUAGCCGACCUGAGAGGGUGAUCGGCCACACUGGAACUGAGACACGGUCCAGACUCCUACGGGAGGCAGCAGUAGGGAAUCUUCCGCAAUGGGCGAAAGCCUGACGGAGCAACGGCGCGUGAGUGAUGAAGGUCUUCGGAUCGUAAAACUCUGUUAUUAGGGAAGAACAUAUGUGUAAGUAACUGUGCACAUCUUGACGGUACCUAAUCAGAAAGCCACGGCUAACUACGUG